CAAGCGUGGAGCAUGUGGUUUAAUUCGAAGCAACGCGAAGAACCUUUACCAGGUCUUGACAUCCCGAUGCUAUUCUAGAGAUAGAAAGUUACUUCGGUACAUCGGUGACAGGUGGUGCAUGGUUGUCGUCAGCUCGUGUCGUGAGAUGUUGGGUUAAGUCCCGCAACGAGCGCAACCCCUAUUGUUAGUUGCCAUCAUUCAGUUGGGCACUCUAGCGAGACUGCCGGUAAUAAACCGGAGGAAGGUGGGAUGACGUCAAAUCAUCAUGCCCCUUAUGACCUGGGCUACACACGUGCUACAAUGGCUGGUACAACGAGUUGCGAGUCGGUGACGGCGAGCUAAUCUCUUAAAGCCAAUCUCAGUUCGGAUUGUAGGCUGCAACUCGCCUACAUGAAGUCGGAAUCGCUAGUAAUCGCGGAUCAGCACGCCGCGGUGAAUACGUUCCCGGGCCUU
rnacentral:rRNA from 1 species